rnacentral:tRNA from 1 species
GGCAGCUUGGCAGAGUGGUCUAAUGCGGUUGACUCGGUACGUUCAACUUCCUUCGCCCUAACAUUUGCACUUUACUAACAUUCUCCCAGAAAUCAACUCUCCUCGGAGGCGGCGGUUCGAAUCCGCCAGCUGUCG